CCCCCUCCCCCCAGUUCGUGAGCCGGAGGUUGCGGCGAGCGGCUCGGCAGAAGGAGGAAGAGGCCGUGUACGCCGGUCUCAGCGAGGGCCACCAGGAGACCUACGAGACCCUGCAGAUGAAGAGCUCCUGACCCCCCCUGUGUCCCCUCCUGUGUCCCCUCCCCCUGUCCCCCUCCUGUCCCCAAACCCCGGGACCCCCCUGCCAACGCCAGGACGGAAAAUUGGGAAUUUUUUUUUCCCCUAAAUAUGGAAAAUUGGGAUUUUUUCCCCUCUAAAAA